rnacentral:rRNA from 1 species
AGGACACAUUGAGCACUGAUUUUUCGAACGCGCAUUGCGGCCUCGGGUCCUGCCCGGGGCCUCGCCUGUCUGAGGGUC